UCGUCCUACGGGAGGCAGCAGUGGGGAAUAUUGCACAAUGGGGGAAACCCUGAUGCAGCGACGCCGCGUGAGCGAAGAAGUAUUUCGGUAUGUAAAGCUCUAUCAGCAAGGAAGAAAAAUGACGGUACCUGAGUAAGAAGCACCGGCUAAAUACGUGCCAGCAGCCGCGGUAAUACGUAUGGUGCAAGCGUUAUCCGGAUUUACUGGGUGUAACGGGAGCGCAGGCGGUGCGGCAAGUCUGACGUGAAAGCCCGGGGCUCAACC
rnacentral:rRNA from 1 species